CCUACGGGUGGCAGCAGUGAGGAAUAUUGGUCAAUGGGCGCGAGCCUGAUCCAGCCAAGUAGCGUGAAGGAUGACUGCCCUCCGGGUUGUAAACUUCUUUUAUAAAGGAAUAAAGUGAGGCACGUGUGCCUUUUUGUAUGUACUUUAUGAAUAAGGCUCGGCUAACUCCGUGCCAGCAGCCGCGGUAAUACGGAGGAUCCGAGCGUUAUCCGGAUUUAUGGGGUUUAAAGGGAGCGUAGAGGGGUUGUUAAGUCAGUUGUGAAAGUCUGCGGCUCAACCGUAAAAUUGCACUUGAUACUGGCAGUCUAGAGUACAGUUGAGGUAGGCGGAAUUCGUGGUGUAGCGGUGAAAUGCGUAGAGAUCACGAAGAACACCGAUUGCGAAGGCAGCUUACUAAACUGCCACUGACAUUGAUGCUCGAAAGUGUGGGUAUCAAACAGGAUUAGAUACCCGAGUAGUC
rnacentral:rRNA from 1 species